rnacentral:rRNA from 1 species
UACGUAGGGUGCGAGCGUUGUCCGGAAUUACUGGGCGUAAAGCGUGCGUAGGCGGUUUGUUAAGUCUGUCGUGAAAGCCCCGGGCUCAACCUGGGAAUGGCGAUGGAUACUGGCGAGCUAGAGUACGGUAGAGGAGAGUGGAGUUCCCGGUGUAGCAGUGAAAUGCGUAGAGAUCGGGAGGAACAGCAGUGGCGAAGGCGGCUCUCUGGACCAGUACUGACGCUGAGGCACGAAAGCGUGGGGAGCAAACAGG